UGUAGGUGUGUGUUCCAGGUAAAUCCGGUUCACUUUAACACUGAGGCGUGACGACGAGGCACUACGGUGCUGAAGCAACAAAUGCCCUGCUUCCAGGAAAAGCCUCUAAGCAUCAGGUAACAUCAAAUCGUACCCCAAACCGACACAGGUGGUCAGGUAGAGAAUACCAAGGCGCUUGAGAGAACUCGGGUGAAGGAACUAGGCAAAAUGGUGCCGUAACUUCGGGAGAAGGCACGCUGACACGUAGGUGAAGUGAUUUACUCAUGGAGCUGAAGUCAGUCGAAGAUACCAGCUGGCUGCAACUGUUUAUUAAAAACACAGCACUGUGCAAACACGAAAGUGGACGUAUACGGUGUGACGCCUGCCCGGUGCCGGAAGGUUAAUUGAUGGGGUCAGCGCAAGCGAAGCUCCUGAUCGAAGCCCCGGUAAACGGCGGCCGUAACUAUAACGGUCCUAAGGUAGCGAAAUUCCUUGUCGGGUAAGUUCCGACCUGCACGAAUGGCGUAAUGAUGGCCAGGCUGUCUCCACCCGAGACUCAGUGAAAUUGAACUCGCUGUGAAGAUGCAGUGUACCCGCGGCAAGACGGAAAGACCCCGUGAACCUUUACUAUAGCUUGACACUGAACAUUGAGCCUUGAUGUGUAGGAUAGGUGGGAGGCUUUGAAGUGUGGACGCCAGUCUGCAUGGAGCCGACCUUGAAAUACCACCCUUUAAUGUUUGAUGUUCUAACGUGGACCCGUAAUCCGGGUUGCGGACAGUGUCUGGUGGGUAGUUUGACUGGGGCGGUCUCCUCCUAAAGAGUAACGGAGGAGCACGAAGGUUGGCUAAUCCUGGUCGGACAUCAGGAGGUUAGUGCAAUGGCAUAAGCCAGCUUGACUGCGAGCGUGACGGCGCGAGCAGGUGCGAAAGCAGGUCAUAGUGAUCCGGUGGUUCUGAAUGGAAGGGCCAUCGCUCAACGGAUAAAAGGUACUCCGGGGAUAACAGGCUGAUACCGCCCAAGAGUUCAUAUCGACGGCGGUGUUUGGCACCUCGAUGUCGGCUCAUCACAUCCUGGGGCUGAAGUAGGUCCCAAGGGUAUGGCUGUUCGCCAUUUAAAGUGGUACGCGAGCUGGGUUUAGAACGUCGUGAGACAGUUCGGUCCCUAUCUGCCGUGGGCGCUGGAGAACUGAGGGGGGCUGCUCCUAGUACGAGAGGACCGGAGUGGACGCAUCACUGGUGUUCGGGUUGUCAUGCCAAUGGCACUGCCCGGUAGCUAAAUGCGGAAGAGAUAAGUGCUGAAAGCAUCUAAGCACGAAACUUGCCCCGA
rnacentral:rRNA from 1 species